UACAGAGGGUGCAAGCGUUGUUCGGAAUCAUUGGGCGUAAAGGGCGUGUAGGCGGUUUGCUAAGUCAUGUGUGAAAUCCCUCGGCUCAACCGGGGAAGUGGCGCGGAUACGACGAGUCUGGAGGGGCAUAGGGGGACCUGGAACUUCCGGUGGAGCGGUGAAAUGCGUUGAGAUCGGAAGGAACGCCCGUGGCGAAAGCGAGGUCCUGGAUGCCUACUGACGCUGAGACGCGAAAGCCAGGGGAGCGAACGGGAUUAAGAAAC
rnacentral:rRNA from 1 species